rnacentral:rRNA from 1 species
UAUUGCACAAUGGGGGGAACCCUGAUGCAGCGACGCCGCGCGAGGGAAGAAGGUUUUUGCAUNGUAUACCUCUGUCCUUGGUAAANNCANNNGNCGGUAGCCAAGGAGGAAGCCACGGCUAACUACGUGCNAGCAGCCGCGGUAAUACGUAGGUGGCAAGCGUUGUCCGGAAUUACUGGGUGUAAAGGGAGCGUAGGCGGUUAUGCAAGUUGAAUGUGAAAUCUAUCGGCUCAACUAAUAGGCUGCAUUCAAAACUGUAUAUCUUGAGUGAAGUAGAGGCAGGCGGAAUUCCUAGUGUAGCGGUGAAAUGCGUAAAUAUUAGGAGGAACACCAGUGGCGAAGGCGGCCUGCUGGGCUUUAACUGACGCUGAGGCUCGAAAGCGUGGGUAGCAA